rnacentral:rRNA from 1 species
GAUGAACGCUGGCGGCGUGCCUAAUACAUGCAAGUCGAGCGAACGGACGAGAAGCUUGCUUCUCUGAUGUUAGCGGCGGACGGGUGAGUAACACGUGGAUAACCUACCUAUAAGACAGGGAUAACUUCGGGAAACCGUAGCUAAUACCGGAUAAUAUUUUGAACCGCAUGGUUCAAAAGUGAAAGACGGUCUUGCUGUCACUUAUAGAUGGAUCCGCGCUGCAUUAGCUAGUUGGUAAGGUAACGGCUUACCAAGGCAACGAUGCAUAGCCGACCUGAGAGGGUGAUCGGCCACACUGGAACUGAGACACGGUCCAGACUCCUACGGGAGGCAGCAGUAGGGAAUCUUCCGCAAUGGGCGAAAGCCUGACGGAGCAACGCCGCGUGAGUGAUGAAGGUCUUCGGAUCGUAAAACUCCGUUAUUAGGGAAGAACAUAUGUGUAAGUAACUGUGCACAUCUUGACGGUACCUAAUCAGAAAGCCACGGCUAACUACGUG